rnacentral:rRNA from 1 species
UACAGAGGGGGGCCAGCGUUAUUCGGAAUUAUUGGGCGUAAAGGGCGCGUAGGCGGCCAUGCGUGUCUUCCGUGAAAUCCCUCGGCUUAACUGAGGACGUGCGGAAGAAACUGCAAGGCUUGAGUCCGGGAGAGGGGGGUGGAAUUCCCAGUGUAGCGGUGAAAUGCGUAGAUAUUGGGAGGAACACCGGUGGCGAAGGCGGCCCCCUGGACCGGUCACUGACGCUGAGGCGCGAAAGCGUGGGUAGCAAACGGG